GACGAACCGAGCAAACGUUAUUCGGAAUCACUGGGCUUAAAGGGCGCGUAGGCGGGCAUUCAAGUCCGUGGUGAAAUCCGGCAGCUCAACUGUCGAACUGCCGCGGAUACUGGGUGUCUCGAGGGAGGUAGGGGCGUGCGGAACUAUUGGUGGAGCGGUGAAAUGCGUUGAUAUCAAUAGGAACUCCGGUGGCGAAGGCGGCACGCUGGACCUCUUCUGACGCUGAGGCGCGAAAGCCAGGGGAGCAAAACGGG
rnacentral:rRNA from 1 species